rnacentral:lncRNA from 1 species
UGGGUCUUUUUUUUUUUUUAAGGUAGCCAUUGUUGUGAGAAAUACAACACAGAAUUACAUGCUAGGUCCUAAAGUUUAUUACCUCACCCAAUGCUGGAUUAAGCUACAAGUUUAUAACAAGCAGAAAAAGCCAUCAACAUGGUUUGAAUAGAUCCAAGGCACUCGUUUUAAAAGCCAAAUGACAGAAUAAACUUGUUCUUCCGUUAGUUUGUCAAUUCAAGGCCUUUUUUUUCCCUCUCCAAUUAAUAUGUGUAACCCUUUAGAGACAGACAUUCAGCACGUGUUCUCAGUGCUAUCUGUUCUGUCUGCAGAGGGUUAAUUGACCCAACACUGUUUCCCUCCUCUUGUUAUAAAAUAAAGCUGUACAUGAUAUUACAGAAUUAUGCAGCAUGGUUUGUGGGUUUUUUUUCCCCCCUCCCUCUCUCACACUCUCAGAACGGAACUGGAAACAGCAACAUGUUUGCUCAUAAUGAAUUAGGGACAAUUUAAAAUGGCCAUAACAUACCAUACAUGCUGUCUAAGUUAAGGGGAAGAAGAAAAAAAAACAAAAACAAACAAAAAAAAAAACAACAUACACAACAUGAAAAUUAUUGCACAAGAGAAAGGCUCAAAGUUUGCGUAAAAUGCAAUAGUAUUGCCCCAGACAUGCAUUCAAACGGUGAGAACAUAAAGAAUUUAAAAUUAAAAAAAGAAAGAAGAAAAAGAAAAAAAAAAA